GUCCCGCCCUGAGGGCGGGGCCAGGUUGUGGGCGACGCGAUGAGCGGGGCGGAGCUUCUCUGGUCCUGGAACCUGGGAUCCCCGACAGUUUUGCAGAACACUGAUAUCCAUGGACUUCAUUUAAAGAAAUCUACGGACCAUUAAUGGACACAAACAUGAGUCAUUUUGUAUUGUGGCAUUCAAAUCCUAGCACUUUGGGAAAGCAUCAAGUGCAAGUUUUUGAAGACCCUGAGGCCUACCAUCAUUACGCACGCAUUCAAGAUUUGAGUUUGAAUAACUUCAUCACGACUUAGAGCCUCUUCAAAAGCCUCAAGUCUCAUCUGCAUUAAAGCUCUCCAUUGAACUCUGUCACAAAAGUAAAAGCUAAAGGGACUAAAAUCCAUUAAUACAUUCCAUUUUAUAUUCUUUUGUCUGCAGUUUCCUUCACCUUUAGGGCCUUUAUAUUGCUUAUGUUCCAUAGACUAGAGCCAAGGAAACAGUGCUUUCCAAAAGAUAUAUCCUGUGGCCAUAAGUUUUCAUUAGUAGAGAAGCAUAAACUUAGCAGGAUAACUUUAGAAUUGGGUCUUUUGCUGUGUCCUAUAAAAACUUGAAUCAACAAUAAGAAAAGGAGGAUGAAAAGGAGGAUAAUUUAAGGUCAAAUUAUACUCUCUGAGGCUAUGUGGUUUAGAGAAAAGAGCCUCAACCUAGAAGUUAAUGACUAUUCUUUAAAAAAAAAAAUUUUUUUUUUUAAAUUUUUCUUUAUUGACUUUAGAGAGAGAGAAUGGGAGAGGGAGAGAGAGAGAGAAACAU